GAGUUGCUGGGCGAUCCUUGUUACGUCAGACAGUUGAACUCCUCCUCUAGCAACAGGAGCAGGAAGGACCAGCCUAAGUCCAACUGCACAUGAUCUUCUCCAGAAAAUCUCCUAACAGGAAAAAUCAUGGCAGUGAUAACAACCUGGAUGCUGUACAUUCAUGUCCUGUAAGCUAACUUUGUCCACCCUUGGCCAAAAGAGGGUACUGAGAAGACAAAAGUAGCUCUGGUGGCUGUCGGCUGAGCUGGCCUGGCUCUAACAGCUGGGCCACGGUAUUCUGCUGGACAGAAAGAAUGUCACAGAACAAGUCAGACAAGCCCACUCUGUGACUGUGAUGGGGCAAAACAAAAACAAGGCCAGUUGUUUUUAUGGAAUUGUAUGGAAUCGUGUCUGGUGGAGCACAGCCACAAUCAAGAACACCGUCCACAUCACAAAAGGCUGUACUAAUGUGCUUCUGGCAACGGAUGCUGCGAACCUUUUCCUUGGGAAGCCACGUUUGUCGUGCUCCGUGGUGAGGAACUUCAAGUCCUGACCCAAGCAUGCCUGCAGGAGCUGGAGGAGAUAUAAUUUACUUCCUAAGAAGCUGGCUAUACCCGUCAGAACGCUGGCAGUCCACCUGUCCUGGCAUUUCACACAGUGCUUGUUUUCCAAACCCAAGAAACAUAAACUGCUGUCUCUAAUUAACAGCAGAGCAUCCCUCUUGUCCAAGUCCUGAAAUGAUCCUGCUGCUCGAUCUGGCAUAAAGCUUCUAGCAGAGUCCUGGUGGCAGGAAAAGACAUUUCUAGAAGAUAAUUUAGGAGACAAGCUGUAUGCCCACUUUUCUAAGCACUUUAAGUGAAUCUUUUGGAUCCGAAUAUCGUAUUACGGCUGCAUAUUUCAGUCACGGUGUCUGAGCGUCUAACAGAUCUCCCUUCACUGGACUGCAUUCUGAUGUGCAGCCGUGGGCUUCUUAGAAAAGCCAGGAACUCUUAGCUCACUGUAAAAGCUGACAGAAUUUUAUGAUAGGUCACAAUUUCCUGUUCACUUUGGAUUCCAAGGUGUGUAGUUAGGACUUGUCUUGAUGCUAAGCUAAGGCAUGGUAUAUUUGCUUUUCUCCUUUCAA